rfam:Clostridium halophilum strain M1 genome assembly, contig: G325DRAFT_scaffold00004.4
AUUCACUUGUAGCCGCUCAAAUCAGGUCUUAAAAGAUUUAUCUACCUAGAUUUGGCGAGUCUGGACUGAGGA